CCUACGGGGGGCAGCAGUGGGGGAUAUUGGACAAUGGGGGAAACCCUGAUCCAGCGACGCCGCGUGAGUGAAGAAGUAUUUCGGUAUGUAAAGCUCUGUCAGCAGGGAAGAAAGAAAUGACGGUACCUGACCAAGAAGCCCCGGGUAACUACGUGCCAGCAGCCGCGGUACUACGUAGGGGGCAAGCGUUAUCCGGAAUUACUGGGUGUAAAGGUAGCGUAGACGGUGAUGCAAGUCUGGAGUGAAAGGCGGGGGCCCAACCCCCGGACUGCUCUGGAAACUGUGUAACUUGAGUGCAGGAGAGGUAAGCGGAAUUCCUAGUGUAGCGGUGAAAUGCGUAGAUAUUAGGAGGAACACCAGUGGCGAAGGCGGCUUACUGGACUGUAACUGACGUUGAGGCUCGAAAGCGUGGGGAGCAAACAGGAUUAGAUACCCUGGUAGUC
rnacentral:rRNA from 1 species